rnacentral:rRNA from 1 species
GACGAACGCUGGCGGCGUGCUUAACACAUGCAAGUCGAACGGAAAGGCCCUGCUUUUGUGGGGUGCUCGAGUGGCGAACGGGUGAGUAACACGUGAGUAACCUGCCCUUGACUUUGGGAUAACUUCAGGAAACUGGGGCUAAUACCGGAUAGGAGCUCCUGCUGCAUGGUGGGGGUUGGAAAGUUUCGGCGGUUGGGGAUGGACUCGCGGCUUAUCAGCUUGUUGGUGGGGUAGUGGCUUACCAAGGCUUUGACGGGUGGCCGGCCUGAGAGGGUGACCGGCCACAUUGGGACUGAGAUACGGCCCAGACUCCUACGGGAGGCAGCAGUGGGGAAUAUUGCACAAUGGGCGGAAGCCUGAUGCAGCAACGCCGCGUGCGGGAUGACGGCCUUCGGGUUGUAAACCGCUUUCGCCUGUGACGAAGCGUGAGUGACAGUAAUGGGUAAAGAAGCACCGGCUAACUACGUG